GACCUCAGGUGGAUCCAAGUUCUUCUGGUGCAGCCAUGGCUCACCAUCUUUGUAUCCUUCGCCCUCGCGGCUCUGGGCACGUACGGCAGCAUCACCGAGAAGAAGACCCCGCUCAUCGUGUUCUGUGUCUUGAUGUGGAUCAUUACCAUCACCCUGGUGAGCUACGGCACCCAUAUCAUUGUGACCAUCUCCCAGGUCACAUCUAUCGCACCUGAAACCAGCCAGAUUUUGCACAAGCCCCUGAGCAUUGCAGUGGGAAUCAUCUUUGGACUUGUUCCCUUCACGUUUGUGGGGGGGCUCUUGUCCAUUCUCAUGGUGAGGCAGAUCAAACAAAGCAGCCAUGUUCAG